CCAACAUUUAGAGUAUUCAGCAUUCCUCAUGCCAUGAGAUGAUGAAACAUAAAAGCCAGACAUGAAACUAUCUUACCACUUUGCAAAAGCAGCACUUAUUCCUGAGAGCACACAGGGAAGGCGAUUUCAACAGGAUUACAGUUGUAUCUGUGCAAGAGUUUUCAACUCAUCUGGGUUCUUUAUUCUCUUUCACCGACGCCAGUGACUUAUUGAUCUGAAUAUUUGUCAGGGAGUUAAAAGACUAAGAAUCCUUUUCUGUGUGCAUCGAGGGAGCAAGUCCAAAGUUAUCAAACAACAAGGGUCUUAGAGUAUUAACGAUGAAAGAGGCACCAGGAAUUUCUUUUAUUCAUUCCUUAACUGCCCAGCUGAACUCUUUCAGUCCUUAGGGAAGUAACCUAUUUUUAAGAUCUCCAGAGAACCUCCCUCAGCCUCCUCAAUAAUAAUCACUGGUGCUCCUGAGGCACAUUUACAUGAAAGUGCAAUGGGCUUACAAAUCUUGGACACUUUUUUUUCUUUUUUCUUAGCAGGGGAUUGUCUUUAUGGGGAAGAUCACAUUGGAGUUUCAAGGAAUCACUAAGACUGGGAAGCAACUGAUGAACCAACAGAUCUGCCUUCAACCCUAUUUGCCUCGAUGACUUAAUGCUCUGGAAGUUGGAACGUUGGGAAAUGACUGAUCAGGCCUGGGAGACAAAAGGGUUGGAACUAAAGGACGAGAGCUCAGCUAAUCUAGGAAAUGCAGGAAAAUGCUGGAUGGGAGGCUCAGCGGAGUGGUCAUGCGGAUGCUCCCACGGUGGCUCUCCUUGGCACCACUGGUUAAUUGCAGAAUAAAUACUAUUCAGAUUUCCAGAGAACAAAUAGCCUCAGCACAGAUCUGAGUCUCCGACAUCUUCAGAAUUCACCAGUUAUCAAGGAAGGAUGAAUAGUCUAUUCUUUUGAAUAAAAGACAUAAAAUGACUCUUCUCGGGCUCAGGACACUGGAAACGUGCCUGCAGAAAGCCAGUGCCUUAAAUACUGUGUCGGAAAUGCGCGUGUGUGCACAUCCACGUGGUGACAGCCACAAAAAUGCCUUUGAGCCCAUUAGCAUCCGUAUGAGGGACGCUUCUGCUGAAAACACACCAUUUCGUGGCGGCACCCGUUUGGCUUCAGCAAAACGUGGCUCUCCUCACAAUCUAUUCCAGUUCCAGCCCUCUAGCCAACCAGCCUUGUUCUGAGUAAGACAGAAAACGCACCGCCGCCACGACCUGAAUCUGCUUUGGGUGAGAAUGCUGGGUGAGCAUGGAGGCGUUUCACUGGCUCACGACGGACCCCUGAAUCCCGAGACUACAGCAGCCUCUAGAAUGGAGGGCCUCAAAGCGACACUGCUGGCAGGACUGUUCUCAAGUUUGAGACUAAAGGUCGGCAGCUCAAGGAGGGGGAUGAAAAGGAUGAGCCCAGCUACGCAUCCUCUGGUGCCUCCUCCAGGAAGCAUGAAGGUUCUGGGUAGAAGAUUCUGCACUGCACAUGAAUGUACAGCUACUGCAUCAAUGUCAACCAAAGGCAAGAUGUAAACAAAAGGUUAUCUUGAAUCUUAUCUAAAUACGUAAUAUUGGCACGAAUCAGUACGAGCUCACCUCCAGGGCCCCGAUUUAGGGCACUCUGGAGCCCAAUUUGAAUUUGGAGAACUGCAGGUUGAGCAAUGAAAGAUUCAGUUUAACUGACAUACUCCAGUCGGUCCUUGGCGGAUCUUGGAAAGUGUCCAAACGAGGCACAGUUUGGAAAGUUAACUGCAUAGGGACCCAAUUACAGCUAGGAAAUAUGUGGGUGUCAAAGUGAAGAGACACAAAUUCAUUUCCUGAAUCUGCUAAGGAAGUUUGGGGUCUGCUGAACCAUUUACCACUGACCAAUUUUCUCCCUAUGUUCAAGGAAAUUUAAAAAUGAAAGAAAAUUUUCAAUUAAUAAUAUAAAACGUAAAGGAGGGACAAGAUCUGAAAGAAAGAGUUUCAACUUUCCAGUCUGACAUUUACUUUUCAAAUUUGAGUGAAACUGAUACCAGAGACAGAGAAGAAAACCCCCAACCAGUGGCUCAUUUUCUUUGAGGAGAACCUUUUUUUUAUUGAUGCAAUUUCUUUGGUUUUCAUGAAUUUAAGAACCGUAGCUAAACAAGACAGGUUCUUGAAGAUGAGAACCUGGCAGGUUCCUCAAAGCUGAAAGAGCUGAAUUCUCACCAAUAGUUGUGCAAUUAAAAAAGAAAGGUCUUUUUAAAAAGUUUACUAAUUUCCAUGGGAUGAUCAUGUAUCAGCCGUAAGCAACUGGUCAUGAAAGGGUUUUUCACACAACAAUGUUGACCAGCAAAUUGGCUGAAAUGAUUUUAUGAAAGAAAUAUAAUGGUACAACAAAAUUACCUUUCCAUCUGUAUUUCAAAUAAUAUUCCAAAAAACCACAAAAUAUUAACAAGUUAUUCAUAAUAUGUAAUUAUUCUGUGAGCAUUGCUAUUUCUAGCCAAUUAGUGCUCCAGAGAAACACAUAUUUACUGGUUUUACAACUUAAAGCAUCCUUCUUUCUGUCCAUGGUGUCAUGUUUUACAAUGUUUAUUUAUUUAUUU